rnacentral:rRNA from 1 species
GAUAAUGGCUCAGAGUGAACGCUGGCGGUAGGCCUAACACAUGCAAGUCGAACGGCAGCACAGGGGAGCUUGCUCCUUGGGUGGCGAGUGGCGGACGGGUGAGGAAUACAUCGGAAUCUACUCUGUCGUGGGGGAUAACGUAGGGAAACUUACGCUAAUACCGCAUACGACCUACGGGUGAAAGCAGGGGAUCUUCGGACCUUGCGCGAUUGAAUGAGCCGAUGUCGGAUUAGCUAGUUGGCGGGGUAAACGG